ensembl:lncRNA
UGGGGUCUCUGUGGGGCUCUAUGGGGCUCUGUGGGGUCGCUAUGGGUCUCUAUGGGGCUCUAUAUGUGCCAUAUCAUGCUAUAUAUCGCUCCAUAUCGCGCCAUAUCGCGAUAUAUCGCUAUGUAUCGUCCCAUAUCACGCUAUAUAUCACACCAUAUCACCCCAUAUCACGCCAUAUCGUGCCAUAUCACGCCAUAUCACACCAUAUCACCCCAUAUCGUGCCAUAUCACGCUAUAUAUCGCACCAUAUCACCCCUUAUCACGCCAUAUCACACCAUAUCGUGCCAUAUCACGCCAUAUUGCACCAUAUCGUGCCAUAUCGUCCCAUAUCACGCUAUAUAUCACACCAUAUCACCCCAUAUCACACCAUAUCAUGCCAUAUCGCACCAUAUGACGCCAUAUCACGCCAUAUCGCUAUAUGUCAUGCCAUAUUACGCUAUAUAUCGCGCCAUAUCGUGCCAUAUCACGCCACAUCACCCCAUAUCGUGCCGUAUCACGCUAUAUAUCGAUCCAUAUCGUGCCAUAUCAUGCUAUAUCGUGCCAUAUCACACCAUAUCGCGCCAUAUCACGAUAUAUAUUGCACCAUAUCACCCCAUAUCGUGCCAUAUUGUCCCAUAUCACACUAUAUAUCGCGCCAUAUCAUGCCAUAUCGCGCCAUAUUGUGCCAUAUCACGCCAUAUCGAUCCAUAUCGCGCCAUAUCGCUAUAUAUCAUGCCAUAUUACGCUAUAUAUCGCACCAUAUCGUGCCAUAUCACGCCAUAUUGCGCCAUAUCACGAUAUAUCACACCAUAUCACACCAUAUCACCCCAUAUCGUGCCAUAUCACGCUAUAUAUCGCACCGUAUCACCCCAUAUCGUGCCAUAUCGUCCCACAUCACGCUAUAUAUCGCGCCAUAUCACGCCAUAUUGCUAUAUAUCACCCCAUAUUGUGCCAUAUCGUGCCAUAUCACACCUUUUCAUGCCAUAUGGUGCCAUAUCACGCUAUAUAUCACGCCAUAUCACCCCAUAUCAUGCCAUAUCACCCCAUAUGGUGCCAUAUCACGCUCCAUAUCGCGAUAUAUCGCGCCAUAUCACCCCAUAUCGUGCCAUAUCACCCCAUAUUGUCCCAUAUCACGCUAUAUAUCACGCCAUAUCACCCCAUAUCAUGCCAUAUCACCCCAUAUGGUGCCAUAUCACGCUCCAUAUCGCGAUAUAUCGCGAUAUAUCACUAUAUAUCGUGCCAUAUCACCCCAUAUUGUGCCAUAUCGCGCCAUAUCACGCUAUAUAUCAUGCCAUAUCACCCCAUAUCAUGCCAUAUCACCCCAUAUGGUGCCAUAUCACACUAUAUAUCGCUCCAUAUCGCGAUAUAUCGCGCCAUAUCACCCCAUAUCGUGCCAUAUCACCCCAUAUUGUCCCAUAUCACGCUAUAUAUCGCGCCAUAUCACCCCAUAUCGUGCCAUAUCACCCCAUAUGGUGCCAUAUCACGCUCCAUAUCGCGAUAUAUCGCGAUAUAUCACUAUAUAUCGUGCCAUAUCACCCCAUAUUGUGCCAUAUCGCGCCAUAUCACGCUAUAUAUCAUGCCAUAUCACCCCAUAUCAUGCCAUAUCACCCCAUAUGGUGCCAUAUCACACUAUAUAUCGCUCCAUAUCGCGAUAUAUCGCGCCAUAUCACCCCAUAUCGUGCCAUAUCACCCCAUAUUGUCCCAUAUCACGCUAUAUAUCGCGCCAUAUCACCCCAUAUCAUGCCAUAUCACCCCAUAUGGUGCCAUAUCACACUAUAUAUCGCUCCAUAUCGCGAUAUAUCACCCCAUAUGGUGCCAUAUCACGCUCCAUAUCGCGACAUAUCACCCCAUAUGGUGCCAUAUCACACUCCAUAUCGCGAUAUAUCACCCCAUAUGGUGCCAUAUCACGCUAUAUAUCGUGCCAUAUCACCCCAUAUGGUGCCAUAUCACGCUCCAUAUCGCGAUAUAUCGCGAUAUAUCACAAUAUAUCGUGCCAUAUCGCGCCAUAUCACCCCAUAUGGUGCCAUAUCACGCGAUAUAUCGCGCCAUAUCACCCCAUAUGGUGCCAUAUCACCCCAUAUGGUGCUAUAUCACGCUCCAUAUCGCGAUAUAUCGCGAUAUAUCACUAUAUAUCGUGCCAUAUCACCCCAUAUUGUGCCAUAUCGCGCCAUAUCACGCUAUAUAUCACGCCAUAUCACCCCAUAUCAUGCCAUAUCACCCCAUAUGGUGCCAUAUCACACUAUAUAUCGC